GAUGAACGCUGGCGGCGUGCCUAAUACAUGCAAGUCGAGCGAACGGACGAGAAGCUUGCUUCUCUGAUGUUAGCGGCGGACGGGUGAGUAACACGUGGAUAACCUACCUAUAAGACUGGGAUAACUUCGGGAAACCGGAGCUAAUACCGGAUGAUAUUUUGAACCGCAUGGUUCAAAAGUGAAAGACGGUCUUGCUGUCACUUAUAGAUGGAUCCGCGCUGCAUUAGCUAGUUGGUAAGGUAACGGCUUACCAAGGCAACGAUGCAUAGCCGACCUGAGAGGGUGAUCGGCCACACUGGAACUGAGACACGGUCCAGACUCCUACGGGAGGCAGCAGUAGGGAAUCUUCCGCAAUGGGCGAAAGCCUGACGGAGCAACGCCGCGUGAGUGAUGAAGGUCUUCGGAUCGUAAAACUCUGUUAUUAGGGAAGAACAUAUGUGUAAGUAACUGUGCACAUCUUGACGGUACCGAAUCAGAAAGCCACGGCUAACUACGU
rnacentral:rRNA from 1 species